rnacentral:rRNA from 1 species
GACGAACGCUGGCGGCGUGCCUAAUACAUGCAAGUAGAACGCUGAAGGAAGGAGCUUGCUCUUUCUGGAUGAGUUGCGAACGGGUGAGUAACGCGUAGGUAACCUGCCUGGUAGCGGGGGAUAACUAUUGGAAACGAUAGCUAAUACCGCAUAAAAUUGAUUAUUGCAUGAUAGUCAAUUAAAAGGUGCAACUGCACCACUACCAGAUGGACCUGCGUUGUAUUAGCUAGUUGGUGGGGUAACGGCUCACCAAGGCGACGAUACAUAGCCGACCUGCGAGGGUGGUCGGCCCCACUGGGACUGAGACACGGCCCAGCCUCCUACGGGCGGCAGCAGUAGGGAAUCUUCGGCAAUGGACGGAAGUCUGACCGAGCAACGCCGCGUGAGUGAAGAAGGUUUUCGGAUCGUAAAGCUCUGUUGUAAGAGAAGAACGAGUGUGAGAGUGGAAAGUUCACACUGUGACGGUAUCUUACCAGAAAGGGACGGCUAACUACGUG